rnacentral:rRNA from 1 species
ACGCUAGCGGCAGGCCUAACACAUGCAAGUCGAGGGGCAGCACGAUAAAGCUUGCUUUAUUGGUGGCGACCGGCGCACGGGUGAGUAACGCGUAUGCAACCUACCUUAUACUGGAAGAUAGCCCGAAGAAAUUCGGAUUAAUACUCCAUAGUAUUAUUAGACAGCAUUGUUUGAUAAUUAAAGCUCCGGCGGUAUAAGAUGGGCAUGCGUCCUAUUAGCUAGAUGGUAAGGUAACGGCUUACCAUGGCUACGAUAGGUAGGGGGUCUGAGAGGAUGGUCCCCCACACUGGUACUGAGACACGGACCAGACUCCUACGGGAGGCAGCAGUGAGGAAUAUUGGUCAAUGGGCGCAAGCCUGAACCAGCCAUGCCGCGUGAAGGAUGAAGGUUCUAUGGAUUGUAAACUUCUUUUAUUUGGGAAUAAACCUCUCUACGUGUAGAGAGCUGAAGGUACCAAACGAAUAAGCACCGGCUAACUCCGUGCCAGCAGCCGCGGUAAUACGGAGGGUGCAAGCGUUAUCCGGAAUCAUUGGGUUUAAAGGGUCCGCAGGCGGACUUAUAAGUCAGUGGUGAAAUCUCACAGCUCAACUGUGAAACUGCCAUUGAAACUGUAAGUCUUGAAUUCGGUCGAAGAUGGGCGGAAUAUGACAUGUAGCGGUGAAAUGCUUAGAUAUGUCCUAGAACACCAAUAGCGAAGGCAGCUCACUAGGCCUGGAUUGACGCUCAGGGACGAAAGCGUGGGGAGCAAACAGGAUUAGAUACCCUGGUAGUCCACGCCGUAAACUAUCAAUACUCGAUAUUAGCGAUAUACAGUUAGUGUCUAAGCGAAAGUGAUAAGUA